rnacentral:rRNA from 1 species
GAUGAACGCUAGCGGCAGGCUUAACACAUGCAAGUCGAGGGGCAGCAGGGGUAGCAAUACUCGCUGGCGACCGGCAAACGGGUGCGGAACACGUACACAAUCUACCUUUAUCUGGGGUAUAGCCCGAAGAAAUUCGGAUUAAUCCCCCAUAAGAUAUUAGAGUGGCAUCACUUCGAUAUUAAAGCUCCGGUGGAUAAAGAUGAGUGUGCGUCCCAUUAGCUAGUUGGUAGGGUAACGGCCUACCAAGGCAACGAUGGGUAGCUGGUGUGAGAGCACGACCAGCCACACGGGCACUGAGACACGGGCCCGACUCCUACGGGAGGCAGCAGUGAGGAAUAUUGGUCAAUGGACGCAAGUCUGAACCAGCCAUGCCGCGUGAAGGAUGAAGGCCUUCUGGGUUGUAAACUUCUUUUAUUGGGGAAGAAAAUUACGGUUUCUACUGUAACCGACGGUACCCAAGGAAUAAGCACCGGCUAACUCCGUGCCAGCAGCCGCGGUAACAC